rnacentral:sRNA from 1 species
UUAGGAAAAAAAUGUACGGAGUUUUGGC